rnacentral:rRNA from 1 species
UACGGGGGGAGCAAGCGUUGUUCGGAUUUACUGGGCGUAAAGGGCGCGUAGGCGGCCACCGCAAGUCAGUUGUGAAAGCUCUGGGCUUAACCCAGAAAGGUCAACUGAUACUGCGGGGCUAGAGUGCAGAAGGGGCAACUGGAAUUCUCGGUGUAGCGGUGAAAUGCGUAGAUAUUGGGAAGAACACCGGUGGCGAAGGCGGCUCUCUGGACCGAGACUGACGCUGAGGCGCGAAAGCGUGGGGAGCAAACAGG